GAUCAAACUAUGUCUAACAAAGUCGAUUCCAAUAAGGGAGAAUCUUUAUUCUCUUCUAGAUAUAUCAAAACUUAUCGAAAGGAAAUUCUUCUCUUUGGUCUGACCGAAGAGUUUUAAUGCUCUUGCCAGUUUGUUUCUCUAUCUUAUUAUGAAAUUAUUUGAAUAUUUUAAAUAAUUCAAAUUUAUGGAAAACAUGUUC
rnacentral:lncRNA from 1 species